AGUGAACGCUGGCGGUAGGCCUAACACAUGCAAGUCGAGCGGCAGCACAGUAAGAGCUUGCUCUUACGGGUGGCGAGUGGCGGACGGGUGAGGAAUACAUCGGAAUCUACUUUUUCGUGGGGGAUAACGUAGGGAAACUUACGCUAAUACCGCAUACGACCUCCGGUGGAAAGCAGGGUAUCUUCGUACCUUGCGCGAUUGAAUGAGCCGAGGUCGGAUUAGCUAGUUGGCGGGGUAAAGGCCCACCAAGGCGACGAUCCGUAGCUGGUCUGAGAGGAUGAUCAGCCACACUGGAACUGAGACACGGUCCAGACUCCUACGGGAGGCAGCAGUGGGGAAUAUUGGACAAUGGGCGCAAGCCUGAUCCAGCCAUACCGCGUGGGUGAAGAAGGCCUUCGGGUUGUAAAGCCCUUUUGUUGGGAAAGAAAAGCAGCAGGUUAAUACCCCGCUGUUCUGACGGUACCCAAAGAAUAAGCACCGGCUAACUUCGUG
rnacentral:rRNA from 1 species